rnacentral:rRNA from 1 species
UACAGAGGGUGCGAGCGUUAAUCGGAAUUACUGGGCGUAAAGCGCACGUAGGCGGCUUGGUAUGUCGGGUGUGAAAUCCCCGGGCUCAACCUGGGAACUGCAUCCGAAACUGCCUUGCUCGAGUAUGGGAGAGGGAAGUGGAAUUUCCGGUGUAGCGGUGAAAUGCGUAGAUAUCGGAAGGAACAUCAGUGGCGAAGGCGACUUCCUGGACCAAUACUGACGCUCAGGUGCGAAAGCGUGGGAGCAAACAGGG